CAUUAUACCGUGAAACUGCGAAUGGCUCAUUAAAUCAGUUAUCGUUUAUUUGAUAAUACCUUACUACUUGGAUAACCGUGGUAAUUCUAGAGCUAAUACAUGCUGAAAAUCCCGACUUCGGAAGGGAUGUGUUUAUUAGAUAAAAAACCAAUGCCCUUCGGGGCUUUUUGGUGAUUCAUGAUAACUUUACGGAUCGCAUAGCCUUGCGCUGGCGACGGUUCAUUCAAAUUUCUGCCCUAUCAACUUUCGAUGGUAAGGUAUUGGCUUACCAUGGUUUCAACGGGUAACGGGGAAUUAGGGUUCGAUUCCGGAGAGGGAGCCUGAGAAACGGCUACCACAUCCAAGGAAGGCAGCAGGCGCGCAAAUUACCCAAUCCCGACACGGGGAGGUAGUGACAAUAAAUACUGAUACAGGGCUCUUUUGGGUCUUGUAAUUGGAAUGAGUACAAUUUAAACCUCUUAACGAGGAACAAUUGGAGGGCAAGUCUGGUGCCAGCAGCCGCGGUAAUUCCAGCUCCAAUAGCGUAUAUUAAAGUUGUUGCAGUUAAAAAGCUCGUAGUUGAAACUUGGGCCUGGCUGGCGGGUCCGCCUCACCGCGUGCACUCGUCCGGCCGGGCCUUCCUUCUGAAGAACCUCAUGCCCUUCACUGGGCGUGCUGGGGAAUCAGGACUUUUACUUUGAAAAAAUUAGAGUGUUCAAAGCAGGCCUUUGCUCGAAUACGUUAGCAUGGAAUAAUAAAAUAGGGCGUGCGUUUCUAUUUUGUUGGUUUCUAGAGACGCCGCAAUGAUUAACAGGAACAGUCGGGGGCAUCAGUAUUCAGUUGUCAGAGGUGAGAUUCUUGGAUUUACUGAAGACUAACUACUGCGAAAGCAUUUGCCAAGGAUGUUUUCAUUAAUCAGUGAACGAAAGUUAGGGGAUCGAAGACGAUCAGAUACCGUCGUAGUCUUAACCGUAAACUAUGCCGACUAGGGAUCGGGCGAUGUUCUUUUUCUGACUCGCUCGGCACCUUACGAGAAAUCAAAGUUUUUGGGUUCUGGGGGGA
rnacentral:rRNA from 1 species